CCAAGAUGGUGAAACCCCAUCUCUACUAAAAAUACAAAAAAUUAGCCGGGCGCAGUGGCAGGUGCCUGUAGUCCCAGCUACUCAGGAGGCCGAGGAAGGAGAAUCAUUUGAACCUGGAGGGUGGAGGUUGGAGUGAGCCGAGAUCCUGCCACUGCACUCCAGUCUGGGUGACAGAGUGAAACUCCGUCUCAAAAAACAAAAAAAAACCUGCUAUCUUUCCCCAAGUUAAUAACCAUAUGCAGUAAUAUUUCAGUUAUAAUAUUUUUCCUCGCAAUAACAUAUUUAUUUUAUUUCUUUAGAAUAAAUGUAGUCAGUAAUUUCUUCUACCUUUUUAUAAGAUUAUAAAAUAUGCCUAAAAUUAAGGUUUCCAAAAAAGUGAUAAUCUUCUCUAAAGUCAAAUUCUAUACAUUGAUAAAAAUGACUAUUUUAUCAGUAUCAAAAUGUUAACUUCUGUUUUUAUAUAUUUAAAUAAAAUAUACAGCAUACUAAACUUCGUUUUAAGUCAGUAGCCCACAUAAGAAGUCAUUAUACUAGAACCAGAGCAUUUAACAGGUAUCUUCGAUACAAUCUAUGCUGGGUUUAAAAAAAUUUUUGCUACCUAUAUUAUGAAGCCAAAAAAGGGAUGCAGCAAGAACACUAAUCCUGCAGGUUUAAGAAAUGUUGGUAUUUCCCCACUUGAAUUUGACUUACAAUUUUAACACUGAAGUUCUCUCACAAUAUAUCAGAUAAGUUAUUUCGUUGUUUAGACUGAGUACUACUUGAAGGCAGUUUGCAUAAGUUGCUCAUCUCAGUGCAUACAACAGCUAGGUAAUAGCAGGCACUCAGAUACUUGUAAAAAACAAACAAAAACCCAAGAAGGACAAAACAUCUAGUACUUAACCUCUAAGAAAUAUUCUGGCAGGGUGAGGUGGCUCAUGCCUGUAAUCCCUGCACUUUGGCAGGCAGAUCACGAGGUCAGGAGUUCGAGACCAGCCUGACCAACAUGGUGAAACCCCAUCUCCACUAAAAAUACAAAAAUUAGCUGGGGGUGGUGGCAUGCACCUGUAGUCCCAGCUACUCAGGAAGCUGAGGCAGGAGAAUUGCUUGAACCCAGGAGACGGAGGUUGCAGUGAGCCGAGAUUGCACCAUUGCACUCUAGCCUGGGUGACAGAGCGAG
rnacentral:lncRNA from 10 species